rnacentral:rRNA from 1 species
UGGGGAAUAUUGCACAAUGGGGGAAACCCUGAUGCAGCGACGCCGCGUGAGUGAUGAAGUAUUUCGGUAUGUAAAGCUCUAUCAGCAGGGAAGAUAAUGACGGUACCUGACUAAGAAGCACCGGCUAAAUACGUGCCAGCAGCCGCGGUAAUACGUAUGGUGCAAGCGUUAUCCGGAUUUACUGGGUGUAAAGGGAGCGCAGGCGGACCGGCAAGUUGGAAGUGAAAACUAUGGGCUCAACCCAUAAAUUGCUUUCAAAACUGCUGGCCUCGAGUAGUGCAGAGGUAGGUGGAAUUCCCGGUGUAGCGGUGGAAUGCGUAGAUAUCGGGAGGAACACCAGUGGCGAAGGCGACCUACUGGGCACCAACUGACGCUGAGGCUCGAAAGCAUGGGUAGCAAACAGGAUUAGAUACCCUGGUAGUCCAUGCCGUAAACGAUGAUUACUAGGUGUUGGAGGAUUGACCCCUUCAGUGCCGCAGUUAACACAAUAAGUAUUCCACCUGGGGAGUACGAUCGCAAGGUUGAAACUCAAAGGAAUUGACGGGGGCCCGCACAAGCGGUGGAUUAUGUGGUUUAAUUCGAAGCAACGCGAAGAACCUUACCAGGGUUUGACAUCCUGCUAACGAAGUAGAGAUACAUUAGGUGCCCUUCGGGGAAAGCAGAGACAGGUGGUGCAUGGUUGUCGUCAGCUCGUGUCGUGAGAUGUUGGGUUAAGUCCCGCAACGAGCGCAACCCCUAUUGUUAGUUGCUACGCAAGAGCACUCUAGCGAGACUGCCGUUGACAAAACGGAGGAAGGUGGGGACGACGUCAAAUCAUCAUGCCCCUUAUAUCCUGGGCUACACACGUAAUACAAUGGCGGUCAACAGAGGGAAGCAAAGCCGCGAGGCAGAGCAAACCCCCAAAAGCCGUCCCAGUUCGGAUUGUAGGCUGCAACUCGCCUGCAUGAAGUCGGAAUCGCUAGUAAUCGCGGAUCAGCAUGCCGCGGUGAAUACGUUCCC